UACGAAGGGGACUAGCGUUGUUCGGAAUCACUGGGCGUAAAGCGCGCGCAGGCGGUCUUCCAAGUCAGUGGUGAAAGCCUGGAGCUCAACUCCAGAACUGCCAUUGAAACUGUUAGACUUGAGUACGAGAGAGGUGAGUGGAAUUCCCAGUGUAGAGGUGAAAUUUCGUAGAUAUUGGGAAGAACACCAGUGGCGAAGGCGGACUCACUGGCUCGUAACUGACGCUGAGGCGCGAAAGCGUGGGGAGCAAACAGGG
rnacentral:rRNA from 1 species